GGUUAAGCGACUAAGCGUACACGGUGGAUGCCCUGGCAGUCAGAGGCGAUGAAGGACGUGCUAAUCUGCGAUAAGCGUCGGUAAGGUGAUAUGAACCGUUAUAACCGGCGAUUUCCGAAUGGGGAAACCCAGUGUGAUUCGUCACACUAUCAUUAACUGAAUCCAUAGGUUAAUGAGGCGAACCGGGGGAACUGAAACAUCUAAGUACCCCGAGGAAAAGAAAUCAACCGAGAUUCCCCCAGUAGCGGCGAGCGAACGGGGAGCAGCCCAGAGCCUGAAUCAGUGUGUGUGUUAGUGGAAGCGUCUGGAAAGGCGCGCGAUACAGGGUGACAGCCCCGUACACAAAAAUGCACAUGCUGUGAGCUCGAUGAGUAGGGCGGGACACGUGGUAUCCUGUCUGAAUAUGGGGGGACCAUCCUCCAAGGCUAAAUACUCCUGACUGACCGAUAGUGAACCAGUACCGUGAGGGAAAGGCGAAAAGAACCCCGGCGAGGGGAGUGAAAAAGAACCUGAAACCGUGUACGUACAAGCAGUGGGAGCACGCUUAGGCGUGUGACUGCGUACCUUUUGUAUAAUGGGUCAGCGACUUAUAUUCUGUAGCAAGGUUAACCGAAUAGGGGAGCCGAAGGGAAACCGAGUCUUAACUGGGCGUUAAGUUGCAGGGUAUAGACCCGAAACCCGGUGAUCUAGCCAUGGGCAGGUUGAAGGUUGGGUAACACUAACUGGAGGACCGAACCGACUAAUGUUGAAAAAUUAGCGGAUGACUUGUGGCUGGGGGUGAAAGGCCAAUCAAACCGGGAGAUAGCUGGUUCUCCCCGAAAGCUAUUUAGGUAGCGCCUCGUGAAUUCAUCUCCGGGGGUAGAGCACUGUUUCGGCAAGGGGGUCAUCCCGACUUACCAACCCGAUGCAAACUGCGAAUACCGGAGAAUGUUAUCACGGGAGACACACGGCGGGUGCUAACGUCCGUCGUGAAGAGGGAAACAACCCAGACCGCCAGCUAAGGUCCCAAAGUCAUGGUUAAGUGGGAAACGAUGUGGGAAGGCCCAGACAGCCAGGAUGUUGGCUUAGAAGCAGCCAUCAUUUAAAGAAAGCGUAAUAGCUCACUGGUCGAGUCGGCCUGCGCGGAAGAUGUAACGGGGCUAAACCAUGCACCGAAGCUGCGGCAGCGACGCUGAUGCGUUGUUGGGUAGGGGAGCGUUCUGUAAGCCUGUGAAGGUGUGCUGUGAGGCAUGCUGGAGGUAUCAGAAGUGCGAAUGCUGACAUAAGUAACGAUAAAGCGGGUGAAAAGCCCGCUCGCCGGAAGACCAAGGGUUCCUGUCCAACGUUAAUCGGGGCAGGGUGAGUCGACCCCUAAGGCGAGGCCGAAAGGCGUAGUCGAUGGGAAACAGGUUAAUAUUCCUGUACUUGGUGUUACUGCGAAGGGGGGACGGAGAAGGCUAUGUUGGCCGGGCGACGGUUGUCCCGGUUUAAGCGUGUAGGCUGGUUUUCCAGGCAAAUCCGGAAAAUCAAGGCUGAGGCGUGAUGACGAGGCACUACGGUGCUGAAGCAACAAAUGCCCUGCUUCCAGGAAAAGCCUCUAAGCAUCAGGUAACAUCAAAUCGUACCCCAAACCGACACAGGUGGUCAGGUAGAGAAUACCAAGGCGCUUGAGAGAACUCGGGUGAAGGAACUAGGCAAAAUGGUGCCGUAACUUCGGGAGAAGGCACGCUGAUAUGUAGGUGAAGUCCCUCGCGGAUGGAGCUGAAAUCAGUCGAAGAUACCAGCUGGCUGCAACUGUUUAUUAAAAACACAGCACUGUGCAAACACGAAAGUGGACGUAUACGGUGUGACGCCUGCCCGGUGCCGGAAGGUUAAUUGAUGGGGUUAGCGCAAGCGAAGCUCUUGAUCGAAGCCCCGGUAAACGGCGGCCGUAACUAUAACGGUCCUAAGGUAGCGAAAUUCCUUGUCGGGUAAGUUCCGACCUGCACGAAUGGCGUAAUGAUGGCCAGGCUGUCUCCACCCGAGACUCAGUGAAAUUGAACUCGCUGUGAAGAUGCAGUGUACCCGCGGCAAGACGGAAAGACCCCGUGAACCUUUACUAUAGCUUGACACUGAACAUUGAGCCUUGAUGUGUAGGAUAGGUGGGAGGCUUUGAAGUGUGGACGCCAGUCUGCAUGGAGCCGACCUUGAAAUACCACCCUUUAAUGUUUGAUGUUCUAACGUUGACCCGUAAUCCGGGUUGCGGACAGUGUCUGGUGGGUAGUUUGACUGGGGCGGUCUCCUCCUAAAGAGUAACGGAGGAGCACGAAGGUUGGCUAAUCCUGGUCGGACAUCAGGAGGUUAGUGCAAUGGCAUAAGCCAGCUUGACUGCGAGCGUGACGGCGCGAGCAGGUGCGAAAGCAGGUCAUAGUGAUCCGGUGGUUCUGAAUGGAAGGGCCAUCGCUCAACGGAUAAAAGGUACUCCGGGGAUAACAGGCUGAUACCGCCCAAGAGUUCAUAUCGACGGCGGUGUUUGGCACCUCGAUGUCGGCUCAUCACAUCCUGGGGCUGAAGUAGGUCCCAAGGGUAUGGCUGUUCGCCAUUUAAAGUGGUACGCGAGCUGGGUUUAGAACGUCGUGAGACAGUUCGGUCCCUAUCUGCCGUGGGCGCUGGAGAACUGAGGGGGGCUGCUCCUAGUACGAGAGGACCGGAGUGGACGCAUCACUGGUGUUCGGGUUGUCAUGCCAAUGGCACUGCCCGGUAGCUAAAUGCGGAAGAGAUAAGUGCUGAAAGCAUCUAAGCACGAAACUUGCCCCGAGAUGAGUUCUCCCUGACUCCUUGAGAGUCCUGAAGGAACGUUGAAGACGACGACGUUGAUAGGCCGGGUGUGUAAGCGCAGCGAUGCGUUGAGCUAACCGGUACUAAUGAACCGUGAGGCUUAACCUU
rnacentral:rRNA from 1 species